rnacentral:rRNA from 1 species
GAUGAACGCUGGCGGCGUGCCUAAUACAUGCAAGUCGAGCGAACGGACGAGAAUCUUGCUUCUCUGAUGUUAGCGGCGGACGUGUGAGUCACACGUGUAUAACCUACCUAUACUUCUGGGAUCACUUCGGGAAACCGGCGCUAAUACCGGAUGAUAUUUUGCACCGCAUUGUUCAAAAGUGAAAGACGGUCUUGCUGUCACUUCUAGAUGGAUCCGCGCUUCAUUAUCUAGUUGGUAAGGUAACGGCUUACCAAGGCAACGAUGCAUAGCCGACGUGAGAGAGAGAGGGGGCACAGGGGAGGUGAGAGACAGCACAGAGACAGAGGGGAGGCAGAAGCAGGUAAGCUACCGAAAUGGGAGAAAGCCUGACGGAGCAACGGAGGGUGAGUGAAGAAGGGCUGCGGAUGGGAAAACGGUGUUAGGAGGGAAGAACAUAUGUGUAAGUAACUGUGCACAUGUGGAGGGUACCGAAACAGAAAGCCACGGCUAACUACGU